UACGUAGGGGGCUAGCGUUGUCCGGAAUCAUUGGGCGUAAAGCGCGUGUAGGCGGUCCGGUAAGUCCGCUGUGAAAGUCGGGGGCUCAACCCUCGAAUGCCGGUGGAUACUGUCGGGCUAGAGUGCGGAAGAGGCGAGUGGAAUUCCUGGUGUAGCGGUGAAAUGCGCAGAUAUCAGGAGGAACACCAAUUGCGAAGGCAGCUCGCUGGGACGUAACUGACACUGAGACGCGAAAGCGUGGGGAGCAAACAGG
rnacentral:rRNA from 1 species